AUACGUAGGGGGCGAGCGUUAUCCGGAAUUAUUGGGCGUAAAGAGUACGUAGGCGGUUGUGUAAGCGGGAGGUGAAAGCCCGGGGCUUAACUCCGGUAAGCCUUUCGAACUGCAGGACUUGCGUGCUGGAGGGGAAAGUGGAAUUCCUAGUGUAGCGGUGAAAUGCGUAGAUAUUAGGAGGAACACCAGUGGCGAAGGCGACUUUCUGGACAGUAACUGACGCUGAGGUACGAAAGCGUGGGGAGCAAACAGGAUUAGAUACCCUGGUAGUCCACGCUGUAAACGAUGAGCACUAGGUGUCGGGCUAGCAAUAGUUCGGUGCCGCAGUUAACGCAAUAAGUGCUCCGCCUGGGGAGUACGCACGCAAGUGUGAAACUCAAAGGAAUUGACAGGG
rnacentral:rRNA from 1 species